UGAGGAAUAUUGGUCAAUGGGCGCAAGCCUGAACCAGCCAUGCCGCGUGCAGGAAGACGGCCCUCCGGGUUGUAAACUGCUUUUGUACGGGAAUAAACCUCGCUACGUGUAGCGAGCUGAAUGUACCGUAAGAAUAAGCUCCGGCUAACUCCGUGCCAGCAGCCGCGGUAAUACGGAGGGAGCUAGCGUUGUUCGGAAUUACUGGGCGUAAAGCGCGCGUAGGCGGUUUUUUAAGUCAGAUGUGAAAGCCCAGUUCUCAACACUGGAACUGCCUUUGAUACUGGAAGUCUGGAGUAUGGAAGAGGUAAGUGGAAUUCCGAGUGUAGAGGUGAAAUUCGUAGAUAUUCGGAGGAACACCAGUGGCGAAGGCGGCUUACUGGUCCAUGACUGACGCUGAGGUGCGAAAGCGUGGGGAGCAAACA
rnacentral:rRNA from 1 species